CGCCGCGGUGCCCUCCGGGCUCCUCAGGGCGCCCGGCGGUGACCGCCCGGGGGGAGCGGCGGGAGGCCCCGCGGGUGCCCGGAGCAGCGGAACGCGCCGAGCUGUGCUCAGAGGGGGCGGGGGGGGCCCUGCCCGCGGCCCCUCAGGCACAAAGGGCGAGGCCGGCGGCACGGCCCCGCUGGCUGGGGAAUAGCGAGGCCGCUCAGUAACAGCCCGCUGCGUGCUCCUGGUACUGCCCAGGGCUCCGCCGCCCGCAGCAUGUGGCCUUUAGAGCUCGCUACGGCCCCGAGCCAACCGCGCGUGAGCUCGGGAGAGGAGGGAACGCGGGGCGCAGGACGAGCACAGCCGCUUCCAGCGUCCUCUCGGGAGCGCUGAGCUGCUGCCCUUCAGGGCAGGCAGCAGCACCAAGCAGCGCCCUGCCGUGCUGCAGCCGCGUUACGGGUCUGGUGAUAGAAAUAAAUGGGCCAGUGGAGGUCCAGGUCUGCUCAGACUGUGCCCAGAUGAUUAAUUUUCUUUGUCUGAAGCAUCACGAAUGCAGCGUUUACAGUGACUGAUUGCCACAAAGCACUUUUAAGCCGUUUCAGACACAAAAUGAGCCCGUCCAGUUUGCCCUGCUGUAAUCUGCAAAUCUGUAAUUCCCACAGGAGGGAGGGCAGGCCCCUUCUCUUCCAAGGCAGAAUCAUUCUGAUGAAGUGCACCAUUUUUUAUUUUUACUUCCAAAGUUUAUACGUGGGGUUUGAUACUGCCAAAUCCUUCCUGCGGGAUGUAAUCAGGCCAUUACGCUACAGUGUGCUUAAUAUGUUCUGACAUGACAUAAAAAUACAGCCAUGUAUGUCAUGUAUGUUGAGAGUGUACUAUACAAUAAACUCAUCUCAGUUUUUGUUUAAUCCCGUUUCUUCAGUCAAAUUUGAAACAUUUGCUAAACAGAUAUUUCAAUCAUCAACUUGAAUUAGUAAAUUAAAAAGUUAUCAAUCAUCUUACUACAGAGUAAAAUAAAAACUGAAAAUAAAUCCAGCUGCUGAAACAAG